CCACUGGUCCCACUGGUCCAUUGCAGUGCCCCUCUGGGAUUUCCUUCACCCUUUCCUAUUCUUGGGGCAAUCGCAGCUUGUUCUCUGUGCUCUUGCAGCAGUCACUGGCAGUUGGCUGGAGAGCAACAUGUCAGGAAACCUUCAGGGCACAGUGGUGGUAAAGUCAUCUUCCAGUGCAACAUGAGAGGAAGCAGCAUAUACACAUAGUACAUGUUCUGGUCCAAGCAGAGGUCUCCGGGAUUUAUUGGGAGGGUGAUGAAUACGGAAGUUUCCAUAAUCACUGUAAGGGAGCAGUGGAGAGCUCCCCCAACAGAUUCCCACAGCAGACCCAGGCAGCAAAGAGAGGGGAUGAUGCAGUGUUUCACUGUGGUGCUAGGAUCACCCUGCAGCAGCUCUGCAGCAGUGGACUAAGAACUAAUGAUAGAAAAUCCAGAAUUCUCAGUGUUCCCUUGUAGCAGACACUGAUCAGAUGUGUCAUGCAAGAGCAGGUGCAGAAAACAGACCUUUCCCAAGCAUGUACUAAUAUCCAGUUGUUUUGGCAGUGGAGGAGGAGAGCACAAAGCUCACAAACACCAAAUGUGAAGCACGUUUAUCUUUUCUUAGGAAUAAAACAGUGAGAUAGUAAGUGAGACAAUACAGAAAGAAUAAAACAGAAGAAGGCUAUGCACUAUGUGCAGGCUAUUACUACGUGAGAUUAGCUGUAGUGAUAAGGAAGGUACAACAGCAAUUGCCCUAACCCUUCCUGGUUAUCCAGGUCCACCGUCUCUGGGGAUCCCCAGUUGCAGAGAGGAUUUGGGGAUCCUUUCCCAGUAAGUGGAAAUUCCUACGCAGUGCAUCUACGCAUAGGUGAGGUCUCCAACUUUGCUACAAGGGGAUGCAGACACUGUAUUCUUGAAUAAACAGAGGCAUGUGGAAAUUAGGCAGAAACUUCAUUCUCCCUUUUGGAUUCUGCCUCCAGCCUGGCCAGGGCUCAAGGACGAGCCAAGGAAUUUAGUCUACUAGUAGGCAGUGACACUCUGCUUCUAAAGAAGGAAAGGAUAAUACAUUCUCACAACGAUGUAUUAAUGAGUUCUCACAACGAUGCAUCAGUGAGAAAUAGUGAUCCCCACUAUUUUUCAACAGAGUCACCACUGUUAGCUAUGGAUUUCUACCAGCAGUGUACGGGAGCCUUCACUUCAUGCUUGUAAAUACUUGCACCAAUGGAGGCAGCCCACUGUUUCAUCGCUGCAAUGAUGGCACAGUUGACAGGGAAAUGUUGCCCACAACGUCCAUCCUUCGUCUGUCUGAACAGAGGGAAGAAAGAAGAUGCCAAUUCGGGACGAUCUGUUGUGAGUUUGCUAUUGGUAUUCCACAUCAUAACAUCAUGUACAGCACGGGUACCUAAAGAGUUAAUACUCCAGUUCUGUGGAUUGACAACCUUCCAGAUACUUGCUUCUCAAAAAAGAAGAACUACAUAUCCCAGAGGACCUGACGGUUGGAGAAGGAAGAUACGUGACGGAAGUCAUGGGAUCUGGCUCUUUCGACUGUCUCUCUCUGGCAUCCAGGCAGAGGGGUGGGUGUGCUUCCAAGUCGUGCGCCUUCAUUCAUUGCGCAUCACUAUCCCCACUGAGGACUGUGUCUUCAACUUUUUCUCCAAUAGAGAAUUCUCACGUUGCUACUCCAUGGGCUCUGUCUCUUUUGACUCCGGCUCAUAGUUCUGACGCCACAGCGCACCAAUGGUAAUGAUGUGAUCCAGGAAACUGUCACCGUGGACCCUAAAUGGGUUCAGUUGUUUCUUGCUAAUUUGCAUACCGUGUUGUUUCUGUUCCUGUGUGUGUGUUCGUGGGACCCACUGUGUGCAAACUUUGCUAUAUUCCGCCGUUGAUGCCAUUGUUUUCAAUGCACUGAAGCCAACGUUCAUCUCUGUAUGCAGUCCGCUGGUUGUAAUCCACUGAUUUGAGCAGAUGUGCUGAUCCAGACGCUCUUCAUUUUGCUGUGUGACAGCUGUGCAUUGCCAUCCAGAACAUAAGUGGCUUAUCAUUUACGUCCCUGUUGCCGCUGCUGAAAUGCAACUCCCAGUGCAUCUGCUGUUUGGCCUUCAGCAUCUGGGUGAGCAGGAAUGGAUGAAUGUCAGGGGGGUGCAAUUUUUUCCACACGGAAAUACCAAAAUCCACACCUUUGCUUCGUGUGGCCUUGAUUUGGAGAAGUAGGCCACAAUAUAUUUUUAUUGCGUUUUUAGAAAAGGCUGAUUUGAAAAAGUAGAGAUACCAUAUAUUUCAGUAGUGUUUUUUUAGAAAUACUGGUGUUGACUUGUUUUAUUAUGUGAUUGGUUCUUGCUUGCAAAACUGUAAUAGCUUUUAGAUGUUGUGAAUAGUUAUGCAUGUAGCAUUAUAUUACUAGGAAGCAUGUUGUAAGGCAGUUCUGUUUUGACAAGAGGCCUCAGCAGAAGAAACAUAAUAACGAAAGGCAGGGCCUCCACACCAGGCUGAAUUGUCUCACUCUGGGAUUAGGUUGAAAUGCAUCAGGCAGGUGUCAGCAUACUCUCCUCUGUCUUCCUUAUCUUCUAACACCCCAGUGUAUAUCAUUAAAAGUCAGGCUGCCAAGCUUAUCUUUAUCCAGGGGCGAGCAGAUGUCCAGAACUAAUGGUUGAGUGCUGAGUGAGCAAAAAUUGCAGUUUUGGUACCUGUAAAUUACUUACAAUAGGCAUUCUGCUAUUGAUCGUGUAUCUAUGAAGAAAGUUCAUCUAGAGGACCAGGAAGGAAGACCACUGGCUGAAGUAAAAGGCUGUCAGUUGGGCUGUUAUGGUGCCAAGGACGCAAGACGAUGGAAGGGGGCCGUGGAAUAGAAGACUGGAACCCUCAUAAAUCAGUGAGAUAGGUGUGUAGAUGUUAAUUGUUUUUCGUGUAAUUGAUGAAUAUGUACUAUCUGUUGAAAUAUCAUGGACUCUGAAUCACGUCAUCUUCUAUGGUGGAAAUAUCCGCAGUGCUUCUGGUGCUUCUGAUAAAGAAUACCUGACGUAAAGGUAA